UGUAGGAGUGAGCCUGCUCGCGAUGGCGUCAGGUCUGUCGACAUCUUUGGCGCCUGACCCAGCGCUAUCGCGAGCAGGCUCACUCCUACA
rnacentral:antisense_RNA from 1 species